GACGUAGGGCGCGAGCGUUGUCCGGAUUUAUUGGGUACGGUAAAGAGCUCGGUAGGCGGUUCAUUGCGAUCAAUCGGUGAAAUCCUGUGGCUCAACUACAGGCUUGCGGUUGAUGACGGGUGGGCUGAGUUCGGUAGGGGAGACGUGGAAUUCCUGGUGUAGCGGUGAAAUGCGCAGAUAUCAGGAGGAACACCGGAGCGGCAAGGCGGAUCUCUGGGCCGUAACUGA
rnacentral:rRNA from 1 species